GGAGAGUAGAGUUCAGUGGUAGAGUGCGGGCUUAAUAUGCAUGACGUCCUGGGUUCAAUCCCCAGUACCUCCA
rnacentral:tRNA from 1 species